AGUUUGAUCCUGGCUCAGAACGAACGCUGGCGGCAGGCUUAACACAUGCAAGUCGAACGCUCGUAGCAAUACGGGAGUGGCAGACGGGUGAGUAACGCGUGGGAACAUACCCUCCGGUUCGGAAUAGCUCAGGGAAACUUGGAUUAAUACCGGAUACGGCUGAGAGGCAAAAGAUUUAUCGCCGGAGGAUUGGCUCGCGUUCGAUUAGCUAGUUGGUGAGGUAAUGGCUCACCAAGGCUAUGAUCGAUAGCUGGUCUGAGAGGAUGAUCAGCCACAUUGGGACUGAGACACGGCCCAAACUCCUACGGGAGGCAGCAGUGGGGAAUAUUGGACAAUGGGCGCAAGCCUGAUCCAGCCAUGCCGCGUGGAUGAUGAAGGCCCUAGGGUUGUAAAGUCCUUUUAACGGGGAAGAUAAUGACGGUACCCGUAGAAUAAGCCCCGGCUAACUUCGUGCCAGCAGCCGCGGUUAGCU
rnacentral:rRNA from 1 species